CUCUGGCAUCCUUUCAUAAUACAUGUUCAGUGUCAACCCUAUUUGCUGUGGCCUUGGAAAAGUCUUGGUCUCUGGAUUGGCCUUUGCAUUAGAGAGAAUGAGACACUCCAGAGGGGAGACUUGCCUGGACCUGCGUGGAGCUGCUCUGGCAGUAUAGGGAAGAUACCCCUGCUACAGGCAGUUCAUUGCUACCGCCUUCAUCAGACAACACAUGGACGGCAAGAUCUUAAAAACAUGUUUUUACUGUUUUGAACUAAUUUCAUUCUGGAAAACUCUUAUUGCUGCUUUAAAUUUUUUUUUUUAAUUGUCCUAUGACUGCUUUGAAAUUGCUCCUUUCUGGUCCUCUCCCUUCUGCUUUCAUCACUUGCUCAUGGCUUUAGGGACAUUUACAUUUUGGACAAUUAUUUAAUUCCAUUUUCAAAUCAGGUUUCUGAGUGCUGCAUUUUUACUCCAUUGUUAUGUUUUGUUUUGUUUUGUUUUAACCUGUUGCCAGAGGUGCCACAUGGGACUGGAACACACCUUCUGCCAGACACAAUCCUGAAUUCAUUAACUUGCCAUUUCCUUUGCUCUUGAUGGGACCUGACAGACAAGCACCUCCAUUAAAGGAAUAUUUACCCAACACCAACAUCUGCCAAGAAAAACAGAAGGA
rnacentral:lncRNA from 1 species